UUUCUGUCUGUUUUAAGACGUGUAUGUUUCGUUAUAAAAGUAAUCGCUGUAAAUCUCCCUUUACCAAAAACAAAGAAAAGGAGCAUUUUAAGGAUCAUGUCCUGCAGAGAAAAAAAUAGUCAAUUUUAGUCUUAAAAGUAGAAGCACUAAAAGGAGCCCACCAUUGCAACAGCAAGACCCUUCCCACAUCUCCAGGAUCUCCUGCUCCUUGCUACAGUCCAAAUUUACUGUAGUUUCGUAGUGCCAGAUUGAUAGAACGAAGCAUCACUUUAUUUUUCACUGUGAAUGAAAACUUACCACGAUCAUGGGUUUGAGAUUACUGUCGACAAAGGAAUCAUAGAGAUUGAUUGAACUGUAAGGCCGCUUACUGUCGAGACGUAUGCAUUUCUAGUUGUUUGCUACUGGAUUGACCAUGUGACCGACACUUGAAGAUAUUGG
rnacentral:lncRNA from 1 species